AUGCCUAGGAAUCUGCCUGGUAGUGGGGGAUCCCGCUCGGAAACGGACGCUAAUACCGCAUACGUCCUACGGGAGAAAGCAGGGGACCUUCGGGCCUUGCGCUAUCAGAUGAGCCUAGGUCGGAUUAGCUAGUUGGUGAGGUAAUGGCUCACCAAGGCGACGAUCCGUAACUGGUCUGAGAGGAUGAUCAGUCACACUGGAACUGAGACACGGUCCAGACUCCUACGGGAGGCAGCAGUGGGGAAUAUUGGACAAUGGGCGAAAGCCUGAUCCAGCCAUGCCGCGUGUGUGAAGAAGGUCUUCGGAUUGUAAAGCACUUUAAGUUGGGAGGAAGGGCAGUUACCUAAUACGUAUCUGUUUUGACGUUACCGACAGAAUAAGCACCGGCUAACUCUGUGCCAGCAGCCGCGGUAAUACAGAGGGUGCAAGCGUUAAUCGGAAUUACUGGGCGUAAAGCGCGCGUAGGUGGUUUGUUAAGUUGGAUGUGAAAUCCCCGGGCUCAACCUGGGAACUGCAUUCAAAACUGACAAGCUAGAGUAUGGUAGAGGGUGGUGGAAUUUCCUGUGUAGCGGUGAAAUGCGUAGAUAUAGGAAGGAACACCAGUGGCGAAAGGCGACCACCUGGACUGAUACUGACACUGAGGUGCGAAAGCGUGGGG
rnacentral:rRNA from 1 species